rnacentral:rRNA from 1 species
GAUGAACGCUGGCGGCGUGCUUAACACAUGCAAGUCGAACGAGAAGUGAAGACGGAAACCUUCGGGCGGAAGGCUUUAUUUCGAGUGGCGGACGGGUGAGUAACGCGUGGGUAACCUGCCUCAUACAGGGGGAUAACAGUUGGAAACGACUGUUAAUACCGCAUAAGACCACAGCACCGCAUGGUGCGGGGGUAAAAACUCCGGUGGUAUGAGAUGGACCCGCGUUCGAUUAGCCAGUUGGCGGGGUAACGGCCCACCAAAGCGACGAUCGAUAGCCGAUCUGAGAGGAUGACCGGCCACAUUGGGACUGAGACACGGCCCAAACUCCUACGGGAGGCAGCAGUGGGGAAUAUUGCACAAUGGGGGAAACCCUGAUGCAGCGACGCCGCGUGAGUGAAGAAGUAUUUCGGUAUGUAAAGCUCUAUCAGCAGGGAAGAAAAUGACGGUACCUGAGUAAGAAGCCCCGGCUAACUACGUG